rnacentral:rRNA from 1 species
UGGGGAAUUUUGGACAAUGGGCGAAAGCCUGAUCCAGCAAUGCCGCGUGUGUGAAGAAGGCCUUCGGGUUGUAAAGCACUUUUGUCCGGAAAGAAAUCCUUGGCUCUAAUACAGUCGGGGGAUGACGGUACCGGAAGAAUAAGCACCGGCUAACUACGUGCCAGCAGCCGCGGUAAUACGUAGGGUGCAAGCAUUAAUCGGAAUUACUGGGCGUAAAGCGUGCGCAGGCGGUUUGCUAAGACCGAUGUGAAAUCCCCGGGCUCAACCUGGGAACUGCAUUGGUGACUGGCAGGCUAGAGUAUGGCAGAGGGGGGUAGAAUUCCACGUGUAGCAGUGAAAUGCGUAGAGAUGUGGAGGAAUACCGAUGGCGAAGGCAGCCCCCUGGGCCAAAUACUGACGCUCAUGCACGAAAGCGUGGGGAGCAAACAGGAUUAGAUACCCUGGUAGUCCACGCCCUAAGCGAUGUCAACUAGUUGUUGGGGAUUCAUUUCCUUAGUAACGUAGCUAACGCGUGAAGUUGACCGCCUGGGGAGUACGGUCGCAAGAUUAAAACUUAAAUGAAUUG